rnacentral:misc_RNA from 1 species
GAUGAAGAACGCAGCAAAAUGCGAUAAGUAAUGUGAAUUGCAGAAUUCAGUGAAUCAUCGAAUCUUUGAACGCACAUUGCGCCAGCCAGUAUUCUGGCGGGCAUGCCUGUUCGAGCGUCAUUUCAACCCUCAAGCACAGCUUGGUGUUGGGACUCGCGUUAAUUCGCGUUCCUCAAAUUGAUUGGCGGUCACGUCGAGCUUCCAUAGCGUAGUAGUAAAACCCUCGUUACUGGUAAUCGUCGCGGCCACGCCGUUAAACCCCAACUUCUGAAUGUUGACCUCGGAUCAGGUAGGAAUACCCGCUGAACUUAAGCAUAUCAAUAAGCGGAGGA